CCCGGCCGCUGCAGAGCCUGCACCUCUACGCUCGGGCAAGCAGCCGCGGGUCCUCGCUGUGCCAAGGGAGCCCAGGAGAGUGCAGACUCAGUGAGAAGCGGCCACUGCCCUGCAGGAUGAAAGGAUGAAUGGCUCCGGGCCCAUUGCACAAUCUCCGGUAUAAUUAGCCAAGGGCGGAGGCGCAGGGCUCAUCCCCGGGGUGGCACACUCUCAGAUCGGUUUCCCUUUCGGCUGCAUAGCCAGGAUUUUAUUAAAUAGGGACGAAAGGCCCCUGUCCGGCCUUCCUCCGUGAGGGUUCAGGUAUUAUGAAUGAGAAGGCAACUCCGACAAGCCUCUGAGGUCGCCACUUCAGGAAAGCCGGGGAAGCCAUUAGGAUGCAGUCCGGUAUUCUCAACAGAAGGCAAGAAGAUUGCAAACCGAAUCUUAUGGGGCGGGAAGAUUCUCCUCCAGCACUUGAAUUUCUAAAUCAGGCUGGGAAGACAACAGCAAAGAAAAGGAACAGCGGUAUAAGAGAACCAGAAUCUUAAAACUAAAAGAAGAUAAAAAGUCUGUGAUUGGGCUCAGAGGUUAAGAGCACUAGCUGCUCUUCCAAAGGUCCUGAGUUCAGUUCCCAGUACCUACAUGGUGGGUCACAACCAUCUAUAGUGAGAUCUGUUACUCUCUUUUGGCCUGCGGGUGUAUAUGCAGGGAGAAUACUGUAUAAAUAAUGAAUAAAUAAAUAUUUUUUAAAGUGU
rnacentral:lncRNA from 1 species